AAGGAGUCUAACGCGCGCGCGAGCGAGAGGGCGAGAGGCCCAUCCGCGCAACGAAAGCGAAUGGCGGGACGCUCUCCCGCAGGGGGGCGGCGCCGCCGGCCGGACGUCCUCGAGGCGGACCGAGCCGGAGCGCUCGCGUCGGGACCCGAAAGGUGGUGAUCUAUCCGUGCGCGCGGCGAAGCCGGGGGAAACCCCGGUGGAGGCCCGUCGACGGUACUGACGUGCAAAUCGUUCGUCCGACGUGCGAAUAGGGGCGAAAGACCAAUCGAACCUCCUAGUAGCUGGUUUCCGCCGAAAUUUCCCUCAGGAUAGCGGCCAUCGCGGAAACGUUUUGACCGGUAGAGCGAACGACUAGAGGUACCGGGGCCGUAACGGCCUCGACCUAUUCUCGAACUCCGAACGGGCAAGGAGCCGGGGUCGCCCGAUCGGACCCCGGACGUGAAGUCGACGAUGGUCGGUGGGCUGGUUUUGGUAAGCAGAACGGGCGAUUCGGGAUGAACCGGAAGCGGGGAG
rnacentral:rRNA from 1 species